rnacentral:rRNA from 1 species
AGGUCUUGACAUCCCUCUGACCGCUCUAGAGAUAGAGUUUUCCUUCGGGACAGAGGUGACAGGUGGUGCAUGGUUGUCGUCAGCUCGUGUCGUGAGAUGUUGGGUUAAGUCCCGCAACGAGCGCAACCCCUAUUGUUAGUUGCCAUCAUUCAGUUGGGCACUCUAGCGAGACUGCCGGUAAUAAACCGGAGGAAGGUGGGGAUGACGUCAAAUCAUCAUGCCCCUUAUGA